GAUAGGGAACAGACUAGUAGUUUCAGGAAGGUGGGUGAGAUUGUUGUCAUCUGAUAGGAAACAGACUAGUAGUGUUGGAAGGUGGGUGAGAUUGUUGUCAUCUGAUAGGAAACAGACUAGUAGUGUUGGAAGGUGGGUGAGAUUGUUGUCAUCUGAUAGGAAACAGACUAGUAGUGUCGGAAGGUGGGUGAGAUUGUUGUCAUCUGAUAGGGAACAGACUAGUAGUGUCGGAAGGUGGGUGAGAUUGUUGUCAUCUGAUAGGAAACAGACUAGUAGUGUUGGAAGGUGGGUGAGAUUGUUGUCAUCUGAUAGGGAACAGACUAGUAGUUUCAGGAAGGUGGGUGAGAUUGUUGUCAUCUGAUAGGAAACAGACUAGUAGUGUUGGAAGGUGGGUGAGAUUGUUGUCAUCUGAUAGGAAACAGACUAGUAGUGUCGGAAGGUGGGUGAGAUUGUUGUCAUCUGAUAGGAAACAGACUAGUAGUGUCGGAAGGUGGGUGAGAUUGUUGUCAUCUGAUAGGAAACAGACUAGUAGUGUCGGAAGGUGGGUGAGAUUGUUGUCAUCUGAUAGGAAACAGACUAGUAGUUUCAGGAAGGUGGGUGAGAUUGUUGUCAUCUGAUAGGAAACAGACUAGUAGUUUCAGGAAGGUGGGUGAGAUUGUUGUCAUCUGAUAGGAAACAGACUAGUAGUGUCAGAAGGUGGGUGAGAUUGUUGCCUUCUACUCGGCAGGUCAGGAAGAGUAAUUUUCCCUUGAAGGCUUUGACAAGGCUGUACAUCUGAUGUGCAAAAAGGCCCUUCCCUUUUAGUUUGG
ensembl:lncRNA